AUGGCGCCUUUCUCCUAUUCGACGAAAUGCUCCAACCAAGUUGGUGCCACUUCGCUCCAGUUUCCAGUCUGGCGGAAGUGGAUGCUGCUACGGCCGAUGCUGUGGCCAUCGUUUUGGAUGCAUUUUGCUCACGAAAAUGAGGUACGACCCAUGCCGUGGCCGCCGUUUUCUUGCUCUGAUGAAGGGUUGCUGCCCCAAGUUACUUGUCUGACGAAGAAAUUGCUUGAUAGAGGAUGCAUUGAUUUCACACUCGGAAAGGCUGCUUUACCCAGAUUUCUCAUUGAUAAGGCCGAAUAUAGUUCUAAGCAAGUUGGUGAUCUUUUGGUGCACCGACCGCAUGUGAUAGUCAUGCAUAGUGGCAGCCUACAGCCUUUGAGAAGCAAUGCUAAAGUAUCAUAUGGGUUUGAUCACUUCAUCAGCGGAAGUCCACAGAUACCCCAUGCCACGUAUUGCCAGUUAGAAAUGGAGCUGAAACCUUCUUGGUUGCAGAAGUAUUUAUCUGGUGACCUGACUUCUUUGAUAACAUUCUCAAGAUAUUUGCCAAGUGUACAUCAGAUGAAACCCUGCAUUUUUCUGAAGGUUGUUUGCAGGAUCCCCACGGUGCCAAUAGAAGUUCUUAUUCUGAGCCAGCCGAUAAUGCAUUGUAUGAAUGAUCUGAACUUGGGUGCUUCGAGAUGGCAGUCAGUUAUCUCUUCAGUUCAAGCGUUCUAUGAAUUUCGUCCUCAAGUUAAUCAUAUUACCUCUCCGAUGGUAGUCUCCUGCUGUGACUUGAUUCCCAUGGAGGAGCACGUUAGUUGUUUGCAAAAUGCACAGUUGCAGUCUUGGCGUCCAUCGGAUGGAAGAACAUCUGCUGGCAAAAUACAAUGGUUGUUUCCUAUUUGUCUACAGACGAUGACACAGUGCUUGGUAAUACUACCUUUUGCUGAUCUGGAUUAUCAGCUACGACAUCCUCCUUUGCAAGUGUGGAUCUGUCACAAAGGACACAUGGCCAGCCCUAAGCCGUCGUUGUUGUUCAAUUCUCACCUGGAUGCAUACUAUCCUACUGAACCAUUGUCAUUGCUGCAACCCAAGCCCCCAAGGUCAGCUCUUGCUCUAAACAAUUUUGAUACAGAAUUCACACGCAACUUGAAGACUAAUGUGGAAUCUCUGCACACCACUACUGUUCUCUUGGAGUUGACUCAAUUCUGGGUUGCUACUUAUGAUAAAUUGUUGCUCUAUUUCAAUCAGCGACUGCCUAGUGUGUGUGGAAUGGCAAGCUCCAGUACAGUCAGUCUGUGUAUUCCUGGUAUUUUUGUGUGUAUUCCUGGUCUCUUUGUAGAUGAUGCAGUGCAACACUUGGUGAGUCCCACCUAUGGAAGCAUACAAAUUGGUGUCGCUCAGGGCAAGUCUUUGUGCACUAAAGCAUGCUUAUUUUGCAAAUGGUUAGUGGAAGUUCAGAGCAACAACAGCAGCAAGGUUAGUAUGCUUCAAUACCCCCAUGCAUGCUUUAUCCUUGAGAACCCACCUCUGAAACUUGAGCCUGAGUGCUUAGUAACGGAUCUGCGGAAGAGGCCUUUCAGUACCGUUCCUUACUAUGCUCCAGCUAUCAUUAGUGAUGUACUUGAUCUCCUGAAUGCAAGUGCAUGGUUCUACAGCAAGAAUUUUACAACUGCCACUCCCAUAUCUUUGCUUCAUGUUGGAGAUUGGGCAGCUCAUUUGCUUGAUAGUACUUCAGCUAGUGGCGAUCACCUUGAGCAGUUGUGGGACCCCGGAGGCUUUGCGAGCUAUCUAUGUGGUACAUGCACAUUGACGUCCCCGAUGCAUUAUUUGCUUCAAGUCUGGCUUGCAUGUGCAGUUUCUAUAUGCAUCCUACUGAGAAUGGAGAAGCCAAUGGCCAGCGGCAAACUAAAUUAG
rnacentral:rRNA from 1 species